GUGGGGGGGUCCACCUCCCACCCGUGUUUAUCGUACCUUGUUGCUUCGGCGGGCCCGCCUCACGGCCGCCGGGGGGCAUCCGCCCCCGGGCCCGCGCCCGCCGAAGACACACAAACGAACUCUUGUCUGAAGAUUGCAGUCUGAGUACUUGACUAAAUCAGUUAAAACUUUCAACAACGGAUCUCUUGGUUCCGGCAUCGAUGAAGAACGCAGCGAAAUGCGAUAAGUAAUGUGAAUUGCAGAAUUCAGUGAAUCAUCGAGUCUUUGAACGCACAUUGCGCCCCCUGGUAUUCCGGGGGGCAUGCCUGUCCGAGCGUCAUUGCUGCCCUCAAGCACGGCUUGUGUGUUGGGCUCUCGCCCCCCGCUUCCGGGGGGCGGGCCCGAAAGGCAGCGGCGGCACCGCGUCCGGUCCUCGAGCGUAUGGGGCUUCGUCACCCGCUCUGUAGGCCCGGCCGGCGCCCGCCGGCGAACACCAUCAAUCUUAACCAGGUUGACCUCGGAUCAGGUAGGGAUACCCGCUGAACUUAAGCAUAUCAAUAAGCGGACAU
rnacentral:rRNA from 1 species